rnacentral:lncRNA from 1 species
AUGCUUGCUAGACUUUGAGUCACACAUUUACUUUUUACUACUUAUGAGCAUUGAGAAGAAAUCCGGGAGAGAAUAGCCAAAAACAUUUUUGUUUUUCCCUGUGAAAUAAAUGCUCGAGUUAUCUUGGUUACUACCACUUGCUAUAUUAUUUCAGGAGAUGAGUGCUCUAAAAAAAAGAAAGAGAGAAAGAAUACUAGGAAAUCAAAAGAGGCAAGUGCCCGAAACCUCGAAGAAAAGAAAAAGUGAGACGAGAGGUAAAAAUGGACAAGCGUCCGAUAGUAGAAUUAGGGGUACAUGAUACCCACCUGAGAGAAAAGAAAAAGAAAAUAUAGAGCAUCUCAUUCUUCUCAAAAAGUUUCAAAAGAGCAAGAAAGGUAUGUAUCCCCUUAAAAGACCAAAAGUAGAAUUAGAUUUUCACCAUUGUUAUCACCAUCAUCACCAUACACCAUUCACUCGCCACACAUGCACAUCUUGAUUUGACUUAUUGACUUGUUCUUCUGGAUCCAUGGUUAGACUAUGUAAUAAAUGUCUUGUAAGUAUGUAUUAUCUGUCUCCCACCUAUGAGCUCCAGAUAUCAAAACCUUAUUAGAGUAGGGUGAGAGAGAAGGCAAUAUCACUAUGCCUCAUAUCAAAAACACCACAUACUUUGAGAGAAGGAAUAUACCAUUACUGCCUUGGAAAGGAUCCAGAAAUACCAC